rnacentral:rRNA from 1 species
UUGCGGUUAAAAAGCUCGUAGUUGGAUCUCGGCAAGUAGAGGGCGGUAUGCUUCGUAGCAUUACUGCCCUAUUACUUGUAGUUUUGCCAGAGGUUCCUGGGUGCUCUUAAUCGAGUGUCUAGGGAUGCUGGCAGGUUUACUUUGAAAAAAUUAGAGUGCUCAAAGCAGGCUAUUACGCUUGAAUAUUCGUGCAUGGAAUAAUAGAAUAGGAAGUUGUUUCUAUUUUGUUGGUUUUCGGAAAUCGACUUAAUGAUUAAUAGGGACAGUCGGGGGCAUUUGUAUUCAAACGACAGAGGUGAAAUUCUUGGACCGUUUGAAGACAAACUACUGCGAAAGCAUUUGCCAAGAAUGUUUUCAUUAAUCAAGAACGAAAGUUAGAGGUUCGAAGGCGAUUAGAUACCGCCCUAGUUCUAACCAUAAACGAUGCCAGCUAGCGAUCUGAGGACGUUUUUUUUGUAGACUCCUCAGGAAGCUUCCGGGAAACCAAAGCGUGUGGGUUCCGGGGGAAGUAUGGUUGCAAAGCUGAAACUUAAAGGAAUUGACGGAAGGGCACCACCAGGAGUGGAGCCUGCGGCUUAAAUUUGACUCAACACGG